ensembl:lncRNA
AGUUGCUGUAGGAAAACGUCCAGGAGAAUUAAACAGCUCACUGUACUAUGGUAGCAUCAGAUCAGGGACUGCUAGCAGCUGCAACACUGUAUGCCUUUAGGGACAAAAAGGGGGAAGAUGAUAAGCAAAGAAGAGGAAAAAGAAAAAUAGCACAGAAAGGACAAACAAUACAAAUAGAAAGAGUGCAGCUGGGGACACAGAAGGAGGUCUUCAAGCACUACAGCACAGCCAUUUUAAAGGAUAGGUUAUCAGUGCAGUGACACCACAAAACCACAUAUUCACAGGAUUCUGUAAAACUGGCUCGUUUCUGCACUCUGUGGGAUGAGAAGUCUCAUUCAUGGCACCUUGAACUGUGGUUUUAUGUACUCUUAAGGGAAAUCCUUCACAUGUUAGACUGGAGUCUAACCUAUCCCAUUACAGAAAAAAAGACAUGCCUCAACACAAGUGAUGCUGAAGUGACUUUUUAGUCUAGCCAUGCUACGUAAUACUGCUGAUUUAGGAAACAAUAUUCUUUCAGCAGAAGAUGGAGGACAGAUACUUUACUGAAGAGACGGGAAAGAGAAGUAGAAACUACAGAGCAACAAAAUUGCUGUCAUUAGCACUCCUGAGUGAGAACGGCACCUCCUGAAAUAAUAUGGAAAGGAGAUGCUUAUUAUGAGAAAAAAUACAUCCACAGAAAACCCAAUUUUCCAGUACAUGGCAGUUCUGUUGUAAAAUUUCCGAGGAGACUUCAUCUGCUCAGCUCAAGUUCUUCUACAGGUUUCUUAAUGCCUCUGACAUGUCACUUCAUUUCUCUAUCCCAGAGGCAUAUUUGAAAAUAGACCUGAGAUCUUCACCAUGUUGGGCCUGCUGGACAGAAUGCAUCUAGAGGUGUCAUCAUGAAAAAGUCAAGACUGGCCAGACAUUGUUCAUUAUUAAUCUCCAACUGCUCUUCACUCCUUUUGUUUCAAGCCAAAAGGAAGGUGUUAUCCACAAGCAGCUUCGGAAUCACUUUUGGAAACAUCUCUUCUCUAUUAUACUGUACCACCAGAAUUUGUUGAAAAUGUCAAAUUGUACUGCUAUACAUGAACUCUAUAAAAAAACACAAUAGCACAGUCCGUAGUCCUAUCACAUUUAUGUCGGAGGAAUGCCGACUAACCUUGGCACUGAGCAAUAAAUUAAUAAUAUGUUCCACUACUAGGCUGCACUUCGAAGUGGGACUGAGUGGCUGGCAGUAGUGAAGUGGGAAGUAAACAUAUUAGAAUCAAAUACAAUUAACUGCAGGACUGGACUCACUACUAGGAGCAGAAGCAUUUCCAGGCAGAACCACAAGACAUGGUCUGUGUAUGGGGCUGUGUAUUUUGUCAUUAUGAUUAUGAGAUAUCUUAUGGCUAGUCUCACAGUGAAGUGUCCUCUCUAGAGAUGGAGAGGAAAGAAUUCUGGAUGAGGAACCCAACAGAAGUGUUAAACCAGUAACUGGUCUUCAAUUGUAGAGAUACCUAUACUAGCCUUACUGCUUUCUUUGGCAUGUUCUGUGGGUGCUUGAGGGACAUGUUGCACGUUGCUCUUAGUGCUGCAUUGUUAGCUUUCCUCAAGGCAAGGUAGAGGAGCUGCAGCACAUGGAAGCCACACAGUGAACAUACACACUGCAUUUGCCAUAUCCUGAGUUCAUAUCAGAUGCAAGUGAAAUGGUGCACAGGAUUGGCCACACAACAUGCCGUCUACCAUAUUUUGAUGUGAAACUCUCGCAGUGUACUUCACAGUUUUUGUUCUGCAUCACUGACAGCAUCAACACGUAGCAGUUCCUCUUCCCCGCUACCCACUGAAUACAUACUAAAAUAAUAUUUGCAAUUUGCUUCUAUAUAAGCGUAUCUUUCUGCUAUUCGAACAGCACAGUGCAGACCCAUACAGCCAAGGCUAAUGCACUCAGAAACAACCAUGACAAGUCACAGCCUUUGUAUGCCUAAAUGACAGACACUCUCAGCCCUCUAAACUACUACAGGAAGAAAAGCCCUUGAAAAUACUUUUGAAAGUCAAGGCCGUAUUGUGCACAGCAUAUAAAUUAAUAAUUAUUAGACCAUGCAUUAGCUUAAAUUCUCAGGUGAAACUAAACAAUGAAAUGUAAUGUAGAUGGAUAUUUUUCCUUGCUUGUACUGUGUUCUACUUACUAAAAAAGUCUGAGAACCUUUAAAAUGCUUUAAAAGGUAAAAUGACAUGAUGCAUGUGAGAAAGAGACAGAAUAUCCACUCCAAUAAUGCAAAAUAAAGCCAAAUCCUUCACUUAGAAUCUUGAACUAAAUUAAACUGGAUUUGCUGUUCAAAAUUCAGCUACUGAUGCUUUUCUACUUUCCUUCUUUCUCCAACUCUUACUCUUACUGACUGCAUAUUGGAGCAGAAAUGCAUCAAGAAGAAACACCUAACUGGGGCAUCGCCCUCCUCAGUGAAGCUGUGACAAACUGGGAACAAGCCUUUUAUUAAAAUAAGAAUCUUUAAUCUGCUAAUUUCAACACUUCAGAUUGGCAACCAGGUUUCUGCUGCCUCCCACAAACUCUCCAACUCUGCAGUGCAAUGACAACUGUCCUAUUAGUUCAGCUCUUUAGGAUAAGGAAGGAACAGUCACGUAACGUAAAAACAAGUGGCUUCAGAAGGGUACAACAAAGAUUCCCUUGAGUUUGUUACCUCGCCCCGAGUAGAUAUUAAUAAAAGAUACUAAGGGCAUAAGCUAACAAACAGUAUUCGCAAUGAGUUGUACACAUUCAAAAGAAGAAUAACCAAACUGCAGAAUAUUCUGACCAAAACUGUCAGAUGCAUUUCAGAAUUGGCUCCGUGUACAUCAGAGAAAAGCCCCCAGGAAGCAUUUAUCUCAUGCCAGUGGGAUCUAGUGUCCAUCCACAUCGGGGACUCUGCAAGACCCUGUAGCUAGUAUUGUGGAAAGCCAUCUGCUGCACAUGCACAGCAUGAGGUUCUCAAACACUAAUUUUGCAACAUCUGACACAAAUUUCUUCAAGUGAGUCAAAGCUACCCUUCCUCUACUGAGGAGCAAGCUCAUGGCAAGACUGAAGUUCUAAAAGAAUCUAUUUCUGAGUUACCUAUGUGCAUUCGUAGCCCCUGAAGAUUUUUUAAAAGAACAAAAAAACUUCUUUUUAAGAGAAGAAGAGAAGAGAGAAAAAGAAGAAUUUUAUGCUUUGGAGCAGUGAAAACUGGACAAACAGAGAAUCAGAAAAUGUAGCAAAAAGGAAAACGAAGUUAAGACAUUUUGAUGAAAAAGUAGAAUUCGGAUAAAGUACUUUAAAGAUUCUUAGUAGACUGUUAAGCUAAUGCAUCAAAAAGGGAAAGUUCUUGUACAAAAUCCAAGUAGAAAUUACUGUAGAUUUUCAGCUUUUGCUGCAAAGGCUGAGUUUUGGCAUAAGAAGCUUAGCCUAUACUUUCAUUACAUUAAUCAGCAAUGGAAAUCCUUCCUUGAUCAAGGCUGUAGACUUCCUUAGAAUGUAAAGGAGCUGAGAUCCAAUGGCUCUCUACAGCACAACACUUUCUGUGCUUUUUUCUAAACCUGGUAGGUGAAGCUACCCCAUAAGACACUAAUAAAUGCCCGGUCGCUUUCUGUAUGUGCUUAGGUAUAGCAUACUUUUAGUAGUAAAGAUAGCUGAACCAGAACACUGAUUAAGAAAACAUUAUUCAGUUGCAGGGUAACAUGCAAACUUUAUUUCCUGCCCGUGUGAUACUCAGAGCACCAUGAAAAUAAAACAAAAUGAUAGAAGGAAAUCCUUAUUCCAGAUACGCAACAACAAUCCCAGCCAGAAUCCCACAAACUCACUCUCUGGUGCAUAAUAUUUUCCCCAGUUGCUUUUGUUGAGACAUCCUCAAAAGUUACUGUGAAUUAUUUUGAAGAAGGCAUAAAAGCACCAAGUCUGUCACAACAGGAACAGCUGUGCUGCCUGAGUCCCCAGGAUCCCAAAUCCAUCGUGUACCUUUUCAUGGGUUCGUAAUGAGGCUGUGGAUUUCAGUUGUGCCUUGACAAUGAAAUUCGACAGGAUAUUAUCUGAAUACUGAAGCAGAUUUCUGGGGAUGCUGCCUUUCCGCCAUCGUUGCACUUUUAUUAAAUUUGACACCACAUGUAGAGAUAAAAAUAGUCAGCGACUGCAUUUUGCUGUUAUGGUAAAAAGGACUGCUUUAAAUACAAGGUUUGCACACUGUCCAAAGGUCCAGUCUGUGUUAACAAAACACAUGAUCUGCUCUUCAGAUAAGCUUGCUGGAACGAAUGAAUGCAGACAAAGACUGCUGAGCACAGGUGGUAGCAGCACAAUGUGCCAGCAAACCAUUCAGCAAGCUAAGGCGUUACUUGGAGCAAACAGAAGCAUGGUUCAGUCUUAAGUAGCAUGGAAGUGGUACAGUAACCUGGCCUACAAUCCAGGUUACAGAGGAGGCAUGAUGCUGGUCUUAGAGUACCAUAUUCUACGCUCUUUGCUCAUGAGGGCAGUUUGUUAUGCAUCAGUUCUCGGAACUGUGCUAAUGUGAGCUUUAGUAGUUCACUGCCACUACAAAACAUAAGCUGCACGAACUGGUUUUUUGCAUUACCAAGCACUAGAUGCCUCAGUUUCUAUAGUCUCAGUAACUAAGUUCUAGUACUCCAUGCCAGACAGCUCUCAGCUGGAGAGGCAGCUCAGGUGGUUGUUUAUUUCCAGCAUUAAUGCCAGUAGAUAGUUUCCAGGCAUUAUUAAAUUCCUACUCCCUAACAACUCAUUCCCUAUUAUUAACAUGCAUUGACGGCCCACUCACUACCUGUAAAUGUACAGUGCAUUUGGCGCCAAUCAAGCUUCAUUUGCUGCCUGAGAGUAUGGAUUUAGGUUGAUGGGCACUAUCAAAAACAAACUGCAGAAGUGCCUGGGGCCAGAUAACACAGAUAAGCCAGUGCAAACUGAAAUUUCAUCUAACAGCUGGAGAAGUCAACUGGACGUCAUCACGCCAUGCUGCACAGUACAAAAAGACAGAAGCAAUUGACUGUAUUUCCAGCAAAUUAUAGUGUGUUUUGCAAAGAUUUUCCACUCCAUUAUCAAACAAACAAAAACAUGAUUGUGAAAAAUUGAGGAACACGCCUGUAUUAUUUCCAUGAGUAUUACAAAUACAUCUGUUAAGCUGAUUACUAAUGCAUGACUAGUUAAUGCAACAGACUGUUAAAGUGACAGGCCUUCCUGGGUACCCAGAGCUGUAACCCCAUUUGUGUGCCCACCCCAGGGGGCUCCUCCAGCAGCCUCCUUGCCCUGCUUGCACAGUCAGCCUGGUGAGCAAUGCUGCAUCCUGACCACUAGAGAGACAGAAGUAAUGUCUGCAAAGAAGUUUUUUGUAAGUUAAUCAUCCAGGACCUAGAUCUAAGCCAAGAGUGCGCUGAGCCUACUUAAAUUCUAAUGAAAAACAAAACCUGUGCUGCAUCAGGCAUUUCCAUCUUCCUGCUGGCAGCACUUUAUUUCAAGGAACGAGCUCUGUCUCAUUCAGUUUCCGUAUUUGCCACCCAAGAAAGGAGUCUGUAUCAGGGAGCAAAAUGGACUGGUGAUGGUGAGGUGGCACAGCUGAUUAGCAGGAGGCACUCAGAGCACAGGCAUAACAUAAAAAAUAAGCGAACUGUCAGGUUCCUUUGCCAUGAUAAGCACAGGUAAUAAAUAAGUCCUGUACUCAGAAAAGGUUGGGCUUUUUCUGGAAAGGAGGUACAGACAGAGAACUGGCAAUGUUGGUAUUGGGAUUACUAUCAUAAUAAAGGCAGCUAUUACAAACUGAGCUCUUAAUGCCUGCUGAGAAAAAUCCAAUAUUCUUUAUUUUUAAUUUUGUUUGUAGAAUACAGAAAGAAGUGUCCUAACUUUUCAGCCAGAGGAAAAUCCCACAACGUUUUACUCAAAUUUCCAGUAAUGUGAACAAUCAGUAAGUGACCGAUUUUAAUGAGACCUGCAAGAGUCAUUAGAAAGCUAAUGGUUUCUCAGAUGAUAUCGCUUUGUCAGUUGAUUACCUUACUUCAUGUUGGGAGUGCACGCACUUACUGCCUUGCACCUCCCAUAGCAGCAACAACAGGCUGUGAAGUGCCCACAUAUCUCUCUCCUGCCAGCCUCAGGCUCUGCCCUGAGCUCACUGCCAGCAGGGCUGGUGCUCACCGCAGCCCUGCAGCCUCCAGCCUGGGUCAGCCGCAGCCAGCAGGAUGCAUCCUCGUCAUCUCUCCCAACAGCGCUCUGUUCUUACUGCUUAACCUAAGCUGUAAGAGCCUCAGGAGGCUGCUGGGGCUGGUUCAGUGAGGCCACUAGUGCCACAGAGGACUUAAACCCCCAGAGGAGAACAAAUGCUUAUGCUAGUAAAGAGGAAUUUAUUUCCACUAAUAAAUUUCCAGGUACUGCUCACCAUCUCCUGUGGUGUUUAACUCACACAACACAGCAUUGGCAUGCACCUAGUAUGAAAAUAAAUUAUUCGCAGUAUGUACAGCCAUAUUUUCUUGGUAAAUUGAACCCCUAAUUCAGAAAAAAAUUAAAAAAGAGAGAAAAAAUCAUCUGUAACCCACACUGAUAGCAUUUCUGAGGGAAGAAAUGUAGAAGUGUGCAGUCCUUAGGAAAUACUAUUUGCUCAAAAGCUGGGAAAGGACCUUUGCCAAGGGACAGGGAGGAUGGUACUGAGACAGACUGAAGUCCAGUUGCUUUUAAACCCUCUGGAAAUAACUGCGCUGUCUUGAAGGCUUUCCAGGUUAAAUGUCUUCACAUUUAUUAUGGCAGAGUAUCAUCAAGAUAUCUGUUUGCGGAUCUUGGCUAAUACCUGAAGAACUGAAUCAGCUCCAUUAUUGCCUUUAUUGCUGACGUCUGUUUCUCCCUCAAGAUGUGUAAAUAGCUGUGGCCAACAUAGCUGACAGAGAGGAGAGAGAUGCAAACCAAAAAUGAAAAGUGUCUCUGGGAUAUUUUCAGACCCACCGAUGAUAAAUUUUGAAGAUUGCUGCUUUGUUACGGCAUGUACUUAGACCUUAGGCUAAGAAUACAGUACUGUAGCAAAGAUGCCUCUUCUUCUAAGAGGCAACCUUUGUAUUCAUACUACAACUGGAUUAUACUGCUAGUGUUUGCCUUGCUAAGGAAAUGAAGAAUACACGCUCAUCCAUAAAGGCUAUCAUGAUGUCAUAUGAAAGGUAACAAUCUGAAGAAAUGUAAAAAUAGGAGACAGAAUUAUCCUCCCAAUCACUUGUGCUGAGAAUGUCAGGAAAGCAAGUUUGGAGCCCUGACUUGAGAUCUGUACUUAUAUUGCAGUGAAACAGCCUCAGCAAAGCCUCCUCUGCACAUCACUUGUUGUGUACAUUUGGAAUACCUCAUAUGGUAUUUUCUACAGAGCAGAAUUGGAAUAUACUAAAGACCACUUUCCUCACUCGGACCCAUCUUCACACAUUACAAGUGGAGAAGUGACAGUGAAAAGGAGAGCUUAAUCAAGUGGAAGAAGAUGGGUAAGUUAUUUGUUUAUUAUAUUCGUUACAGUCAUGCCCAGGGAUACAAUGAUUCUAGGACUCUGUUAUGCAAAAGUCACUGAGAAACACAAGGCAAGAGCUGGUGUGAGUCCUGAAAAGCUUGCAGCCACACAGACAACACACGCACCAACGUGGAAAGAAAGCCAAAAUGACUGUGAACACAGCAGUUUUGGUAAACAUCGUCCCAGGGCCAUGGGAAUUGUUUUACUGUUUGUUUUUUUUUUAACUUCAUAUUUAAUUUAGGCUGAGUCAAAGGGUGAAAUUCAGAUGGGAAAAGACUAGCAAAGUGGAGAACCAAAGAGACAAGGUAGCACAGAGACGAGGGAGGAGGAAGACAGCAGGAGCAGAAAGCAGCAGCAGAGAAGACUCAGUUGCAUGGGAUGCUGUGAGGUGGCACUCAACCUGCAGACAAGAGAUGGGAACAGGCAUGAAGACACAUAAAUUGGUCUCAAAAACUGUAGACCAUCAUGUCUCAGUUAGCCUCUCUCACUGUGCGUACAGUGCUCCUGUUUACUAAUUCACCACAGGGGUCUGCGUACAAAAAGGCAGCCCAAGUUUAGCAGCCUUGUCCCCCAGGCUGAGCAGCCUCAGCUCUGCUGUAACACUGCUCAACCAAGCAGCUCGCUACUUCCCUUUUUUAAGCAAAGCAUCAGGGCUUGCAGGUGAGCUACAGUAUCACUUCCUGCCACCAAAAUGCUCUUUAAGGGACUGCUGUUCUCACUGAUAUAGACACUUCAGAGAAAAUAUUAUUGAAAACCCAUUGGACAGCACUAAAUAUCCUCAUUAAACACUGUCAAGCCGAUAGCGUUAAAUUACAAAGAUUGAUCAAAUAUAUUUGAAAGAACUGCAGAGCAACAGAAGGCCUCACAGUCACUGUGUGAUUUUCUCAGGCUCCAAACUGCACUGGGGAUACUAUACAGUGACUGUUUAAAUGGUUUUAGAGCUGUCUUUGAACUACACACAGAAAGUACUCUGGGACAGUUGGCAAUAAAAUGGCGAGCCUCUAAUUGCUCAGGUCUUGGGGGAAACAAGAACUAGUUUUGCACACAAAAUCUGGUAACUUUCCAGUUCUGAAAUACAAAUUACAAUAGCUUAGCAGCAAGAAAACAGGUACUAUUUGCUUAUGCCAGAAUGGAAAAGAAAAAAGAGGAGUAGAAAGAAAGUUGCGUGCACAGAAAAUAAGCAUCACUGCCAUCCCCCAGACCAAACCAGAAGCAGCUCUGCUGGUACACAAAGGAGUAUUAACACAUGCAUGGCUGUGGCUGCAUCACCAGGGCCAGGCCUAGAUGCUGCAACUGCCUCUGCUUCCCACAGGGGUGACACCGAGGGCCAAAUGUGUUUGGCUUCAUGCUGGAAUCCUCUCAAUGUCUGCAUUUCCAAGCCUCACUUGUGCUUUCUCUCAUUUGAUUGGUAUUUGACCUGGAUUAAAGUCAAAAUUCCUGAGGGAGAGCCUGGAACCUGGAAAAGGGACCAAAUGUGAUUUCCAGUCUGGGCAUUUCCCAGUAAAACGCCCCUCAAUAAAUUGCAGCAACUGAUCCUAAAGCUAAAUACGUUUUUGUUUGCCCCCAAAGCCUUUUUAUUGGGGAAAAAGAGUAAGUGAGAGAAGAGAAAUUUCAGUUACUUCUCCUUCACUCGGCACACUAAUGAAGACAAUAGAGUGCCCUGCAUCAUCUGAUGCAAGGCAGCUCCUUUUUCUCAGCCAUUUAUCUUAGUGUCACUCCCUGGAGGUUUCAUCCUUCUCUCUCUCUGGAAAUAUUUACAUUAGCUUUCAAAUUGUUUGAGUUUAGGAAGAAAAGAGCUUAUCAUUUUGCGGGUAAUUUGGGCUGACAAUAAUUCCAAAAAAAAAGCUGUGGCGAUACAUACUUGAAAUCCGACUUGCGUUGCAGAGAAACCUUCCCAGCUGCUGCUCAGGGGACGGACAAACCGGCAGCUCGGUGGCUGCCAGCAGGCAGGGAGCGGGGCUGUGCUGGGGGUGAUGCUGGGGGGAGCAGGGCGCGAGGCUGGCAGCAGGGUGUUGCUUGCCGUGGUGGCUCCUGCAAGUCCUGGUGUUGAUGCCAUCCAAAAUAUCCCUUCAGCCCAAAGUAAUGAGACAAGUAGUUUUGCUAGAUGCUAAAUGCAGGUGAGACUUCAGGGAAUUAAUUAUACUGCUGUUUCCAAGUGACAUGGAAAUUCUGCAUAAGAACCUCUUUGAGCUGAAGUGAGUCUGCUGUAGCUGAGGAAAAUGGUCACAGCCUUUCUCACCAGGCCAAAACAAGGUAACUGCAUGCCAAAAUCCACAGAAGGGGAAUCAUUACUAAGUUUUAAUUUUGUUUGGACUUUCUUCCUGCCAUACAAACAUGCAGUUCUGCCUCGAGAGUACCCAGCUCAGGUGGGCUCGCUGCAGUGCUACACAGGGUCUCCUCCCUCCUCCCAGGUAGCCUGGCAGUACUGUGCAGUCAGUGCUGGGGCUGGAGGGAGAAGGAUGCUUCCCAAAACAAAACCAAGUAAGGUGAGCUAAGUGUCAUCGGGGAAGAAGAACAGCUGAAGAUACAUUUCAGAUUCAACAUCAGAUAGAACACUCACUUGCCCACAAAUGCAGCAAAAGAAGCAGAAGACAACAGGGAAAGAGCCCCAGAGCCAGUGCCAUGAGCACUUAGCAUGAGCCAGCAGUGUGUGCUUGCAGCAGGAAGGCCAAUGGUACCUUGGACUGCAUCAGAAGAUAGGUGGCCAGCAGGGAGAGGGAGAGGAUUGUGCCUCUCUAUUCUGCUCUUGUGAGGCCCCUUCUGGAGUAACGUGUCCAUAUCUGAGGCCCCCAGCACAGGAUAGAUCUGGAACUUUGGGAAAGGGUCCAGGGGCCAUGAAGAUGAUCAGAGGAGCACCUCUCCUACAAAGACAGCCUGAGGAAGCUGGGCUUGUUCAGUCUGGAGAAGAGAAGGCUGUGCAGAGGCCUCAUUGCAGCCUUCCAAUAUUUAAAGGAUAUUAUAAACAUGAGGGAAAUCAACUUUUUACAAGGGUAGUUAGUUGUAUGGGAACUGUUGAAUCACGGCCUGAACCUCUGAUUGACCACCUGAGGCGAGCGCUGAGUCAGCUGCAGAGAGUGGAAGAUGAAGUGUGUUUCACAGCAUCUCAAGUGUCCCAUGCUCCUCCCUCACCCCACCUGCCCCAACACUCUGCCCACCAGGGCACCAGGUUAAUGAGGGUGAGAAAAUCAUGGUUAAACCAUGCCAGUUAGGUGGGCUGUGCCAUGCACAGAGUCCCAGCACUGUGUGGGUGUAGGAGGCCAAUUUGGCACGGAGCACAGCCUGCUCCAGUGAGCACACACUCACUGGGUCUUUUGUUACUCACCAUGAAUGUUAAUUGUUAAUGCUUUGUUUCCAAGUAAUGGUCCACUGCAUGAAUUGAAAAUACACCAGUGCAACACAGUCAAAGCUGUCUCCUCU